AAGAAAACUAAAUGAAGUCCAAACCAUGAACCUCUUCUGUGUUUAAACUUAUACUUAUAUCCCUCUCCAGUUCCUUCAUCUCCAACUGCAACUUCCUAAUUUUAACUUUUGAUGACGCUUGUAAAACGAACGGACAUCCUGCGAAAGAGAAAACGUGUCAAAGCCGACGAUAUAGUCGUUCUAUUCAGGUGCCGACAUCAUGGUUUUAAAUAUAUAUCUGAUAUUAUCUAGUCUGCUCAUAAUAUAACCACAGUCAGUGAUCUGAAUGUUCAUUUAUUAACACAGAUGUAUCCUGUCGGUCCUUCUGAGCUCGCCUCUCUAACCUGGCGAGAAUAAUCCUGCAGCCCCGGACAGUCGACUGUUGAAAGGACGAUACUGUGUCGCAAAAACAAGAGAAAACUAGAGCGGCGUUCUUCUCACAGCAGAACAAACCUGCUGAUGAAACUAUAUGAAGAAUAUAAAGGAGUUUUCACCAAAAAGGCCAAAAGUGCCGCAAUGAACCAGGUGAAGGAGACGAGUUGGCAAAAACUCGCUGACAGAUUAAAUGUUUAAGUUUUACAAGCCUACUUAUGUGGACAGUGGAGGCCUAAAGGUGGAAUGAACGUUGACGAGACACGGCUGAACUGUGUUAGUGGAACAGCUUUAAGUGAGAGUUGAGUUAAUUCAAGCUGGACUUUGAUUAGCUGCGUUGAUGGAACAUCUCCUGAUCUAAAAGGUCCCUGAGGUCCACACGACUCUCGUGUGAUCUCAUGAACCCAGCUGCCUCUCAGUGAUAGAUGGAUCAUCCAAUCACCUGCCAAGUAUCUUUGAAAGUGCCGCCCAGUCUCCAAGGACGAUUCUCAGAUGUUUCUGUGUAACAAACCAUCUGAUGUCUUCUUCGUGUCCCAGCACGUGUUUCCGGCCGUCCUUCCAGCCAAUAGGAGCCCUGGAUGAGACAGUGAGGGACAUGAGGACAGUGUGUCAGAACAUGGAGCAUCACCAGAGGCCAACAUCUGGCCCAUCACAGCGUCAUGUGUUCA